GUUUUCCCAGUUCCAGUUUCACCAACCAAAAGAACAGGCUCAUUGUACUUAACAGAGCAAGAUAUUCUCUCAAGUACAUGCAGAGAACUACGCAUCUGAACAAGUCUCUCUUGGCCAUGCAACGAAGUUUCUGUGCGUUGAAGGGUAACUCGCCCAAUUCUUAGUUCUGCAAGAAAACCCUGAAUUUCAGGUUUAUAAGGAUAUAGAAUUCCCGCCUCAGAGAGUGUAACUGUCCACAACUUUGCAAUCUCUGUCAUAAUUGUCAAGCGAGUCUCAGUUGAUGCAGAAAAUGCAGCAAAUAUGUCUACAGCCUCGUGAUAGAUACAAUGACACUGAUAAGCUGUCAACACAUCCCCCAUGGAGCUAAAGCCUAAACCUGCUAUCCGCUUGCACCAUUUAAGGAGAUCCCUUAAUGAGAAUCUGUUCAGCGAUCCAUUGAGAGUGGAAUCUCCAGGCUGAAAUCCCAAAAUAUGGCGCCGAGCGACAGAGUUAACUCUUCCGAAUGUUUCUAUAAGUUUCCCAGCAAGAGGCUCCAAAUUCGGAUACCAUGCUUUUACUAUAAUUUGCAAGUCAUCACAAUUUGGUAGCCCAAUCAUCACUCUCCUCCAAACGGUGCUAAGUAAAUUUCCACCUUCUGUAUUACACAGGACAUCAAUCCUUGAAGUAGAAAUGGUGGAAAACAGCCG
rnacentral:misc_RNA from 1 species